AACCAUUACAUGCAUCAACUAUCUCUCUCUCUCUGCACCCCCUCUCUCUCUUGAUGGAAAACGAACUCAUAGUUUUGAUGUUGUGGUGUCGAAAUCCAACUUCAAUCGCACUUGGUUUUCGUGGAUUCUUAACCAAUUGAACUUUUGGUGAGACUUAAAUCUUGUUGAUCCCCUGGGUUAGGUUGAGUUCUGGAUAGAUCUAGUGCUGACCAUACUGGGAUACCUACCAGGAAUUAUAUAUGCAAUUUAUGUGUUGGUUGGAUGACAUCAUAUACCAUUUGAUAUGUUUCAUUGCAAUACAGAGAUGUUUCUAUCAGUGGAACAAUAGUUUCCAUCAGAUCCCAAGUCACUACAGAGGUACCUGCUAAGGUUGAAAAGGAAUCCAAGAAACAGGAGGAAGGUGUGAUUUUGAACAAGUUCAAACCCAAGGAGCCAUACAUUGAUAGGUGUCUUCUCAACACAAAGAUCACUGGGGAUGAUGCACCUGGAGAAACUUGGCACAUGGUCUUCAGCACUCAG